rnacentral:rRNA from 1 species
GACAGAGGGGGCAAGCGUUGCUCGGAAUCACUGGGCGUAAAGGGCGCGUAGGCGGGAUGGCAAGUCAGUCGUGAAAUCUCUCGGCUCAACCGAGAAACGUCGGCUGAUACUGCCGUUCUUGAGGGAUGCAGAGGAGACUGGAAUUCCCGGUGUAGCGGUGAAAUGUGUAGAGAUCGGGAGGAACACCGGUGGCGAAGGCGGGUCUCUGGGCCGAUACUGACGCUGAGGAGCGAAAGCGUGGGGGAGCGAACAGG